AAUCCAUAGGUUAAUGAGGCGAACCGGGGGAACUGAAACAUCUAAGUACCCCGAGGAAAAGAAAUCAACCGAGAUUCCCCCAGUAGCGGCGAGCGAACGGGGAGGAGCCCAGAGCCUGAAUCAGCAUGUGUGUUAGUGGAAGCGUCUGGAAAGGCGCGCGAUACAGGGUGACAGCCCCGUACACAAAAGCGCAUGUGCUGUGAGCUCGAUGAGUAGGGCGGGACACGUGGUAUCCUGUCUGAAUAUGGGGGGACCAUCCUCCAAGGCUAAAUACUCCUGACUGACCGAUAGUGAACCAGUACCGUGAGGGAAAGGCGAAAAGAACCCCGGCGAGGGGAGUGAAAAAGAACCUGAAACCGUGUACGUACAAGCAGUGGGAGCCCCACCACCAAAGCAUUUGCUGUACCGCGUUGACGGAGCGAAGCGACGUCAAACCGAUAAAACAGCAGUGUAAAGUGAGCCGCAGGGCGCUUUGCGCGACAGCGCAAAGGCAGGCGGUUUCGCGUAGCGAAAGCGAAUGCUUUGGGGUGGGGUGACUGCGUACCUUUUGUAUAAUGGGUCAGCGACUUAUAUUCUGUAGCAAGGUUAACCGAAUAGGGGAGCCGGAGGGAAACCGAGUCUUAACCGGGCGUUAAGUUGCAGGGUAUAGACCCGAAACCCGGUGAUCUAGCCAUGGGCAGGUUGAAGGUUGGGUAACACUAACUGGAGGACCGAACCGACUAAUGUUGAAAAAUUAGCGGAUGACCUGUGGCUGGGGGUGAAAGGCCAAUCAAACCGGGAGAUAGCUGGUUCUCCCCGAAAGCUAUUUAGGUAGCGCCUCGUGAAUUCAUCUCCGGGGGUAGAGCACUGUUUCGGCUAGGGGGCCAUCCCGGCUUACCAACCCGAUGCAAACUGCGAAUACCGGAGAAUGUUAUCACGGGAGACACACGGCGGGUGCUAACGUCCGUCGUGAAGAGGGAAACAACCCAGACCGCCAGCUAAGGUCCCAAAGUCAUGGUUAAGUGGGAAACGAUGUGGGAAGGCCCAGACAGCCAGGAUGUUGGCUUAGAAGCAGCCAUCAUUUAAAGAAAGCGUAAUAGCUCACUGGUCGAGUCGGCCUGCGCGGAAGAUGUAACGGGGCUAAACCAUGCACCGAAGCUGCGGCAGCGACACUGUGUGUUGUUGGGUAGGGGAGCGUUCUGUAAGCCUGUGAAGGUGUGUCGUGAGGCAUGCUGGAGGUAUCAGAAGUGCGAAUGCUGACAUAAGUAACGAUAAAGCGGGUGAAAAGCCCGCUCGCCGGAAGACCAAGGGUUCCUGUCCAACGUUAAUCGGGGCAGGGUGAGUCGACCCCUAAGGCGAGGCCGAAAGGCGUAGUCGAUGGGAAACGGGUUAAUAUUCCCGUACUUGGUGUUACUGCGAAGGGGGGACGGAGAAGGCUAUGUUGGCCGGGCGACGGUUGUCCCGGUUUAAGCGUGUAGGUGUGUGUUCCAGGUAAAUCCGGUUCACUUUAACACUGAGGCGUGACGACGAGGCACUACGGUGCUGAAGCAACAAAUGCCCUGCUUCCAGGAAAAGCCUCUAAGCAUCAGGUAACAUCAAAUCGUACCCCAAACCGACACAGGUGGUCAGGUAGAGAAUACCAAGGCGCUUGAGAGAACUCGGGUGAAGGAACUAGGCAAAAUGGUGCCGUAACUUCGGGAGAAGGCACGCUGACACGUAGGUGAAGUGAUUUACUCAUGGAGCUGAAGUCAGUCGAAGAUACCAGCUGGCUGCAACUGUUUAUUAAAAACACAGCACUGUGCAAACACGAAAGUGGACGUAUACGGUGUGACGCCUGCCCGGUGCCGGAAGGUUAAUUGAUGGGGUCAGCGCAAGCGAAGCUCCUGAUCGAAGCCCCGGUAAACGGCGGCCGUAACUAUAACGGUCCUAAGGUAGCGAAAUUCCUUGUCGGGUAAGUUCCGACCUGCACGAAUGGCGUAAUGAUGGCCAGGCUGUCUCCACCCGAGACUCAGUGAAAUUGAACUCGCUGUGAAGAUGCAGUGUACCCGCGGCAAGACGGAAAGACCCCGUGAACCUUUACUAUAGCUUGACACUGAACAUUGAGCCUUGAUGUGUAGGAUAGGUGGGAGGCUUUGAAGUGUGGACGCCAGUCUGCAUGGAGCCGACCUUGAAAUACCACCCUUUAAUGUUUGAUGUUCUAACGUGGACCCGUUACCCGGGUUGCGGACAGUGUCUGGUGGGUAGUUUGACUGGGGCGGUCUCCUCCUAAAGAGUAACGGAGGAGCACGAAGGUUGGCUAAUCCUGGUCGGACAUCAGGAGGUUAGUGCAAUGGCAUAAGCCAGCUUGACUGCGAGCGUGACGGCGCGAGCAGGUGCGAAAGCAGGUCAUAGUGAUCCGGUGGUUCUGAAUGGAAGGGCCAUCGCUCAACGGAUAAAAGGUACUCCGGGGAUAACAGGCUGAUACCGCCCAAGAGUUCAUAUCGACGGCGGUGUUUGGCACCUCGAUGUCGGCUCAUCACAUCCUGGGGCUGAAGUAGGUCCCAAGGGUAUGGCUGUUCGCCAUUUAAAGUGGUACGCGAGCUGGGUUUAGAACGUCGUGAGACAGUUCGGUCCCUAUCUGCCGUGGGCGCUGGAGAACUGAGGGGGGCUGCUCCUAGUACGAGAGGACCGGAGUGGACGCAUCACUGGUGUUCGGGUUGUCAUGCCAAUGGCACUGCCCGGUAGCUAAAUGCGGAAGAGAUAAGUGCUGAAAGCAUCUAAGCACGAAACUUGCCCCGAG
rnacentral:rRNA from 1 species